rnacentral:rRNA from 1 species
UACAGAGGUCUCAAGCGUUGUUCGGAUUCAUUGGGCGUAAAGGGUGUGUAGGCGGACUUUUAAGUCAGCGGUGAAAUCUCCGGGCUCAACCCGGAAACUGCCAUUGAUACUAUUGGUCUUGAAUGUUGUUGAGGUGGGCGGAACGGGUCAUGUAGCGGUGAAAUGCAUAGAUAUGACCCGGAACACCGAUUGCGAAGGCAGCCCACUAAGCAAUGAUUGACGCUGAGGCACGAAAGCGUGGGGAUCAAACAGG